GAGUUUGAUCCUGGCUCAGAUUGAACGCUAGCGGGAUGCCUUACACAUGCAAGUCGAACGGCAGCACGGACUUCGGUCUGGUGGCGAGUGGCGAACGGGUGAGUAAUGUAUCGGAACGUGCCCAGUAGCGGGGGAUAACUACGCGAAAGCGUAGCUAAUACCGCAUACGCCCUACGGGGGAAAGCAGGGGAUCGCAAGACCUUGCACUAUUGGAGCGGCCGAUAUCGGAUUAGCUAGUUGGUGGGGUAACGGCUCACCAAGGCGACGAUCCGUAGCUGGUUUGAGAGGACGACCAGCCACACUGGGACUGAGACACGGCCCAGACUCCUACGGGAGGCAGCAGUGGGGAAUUUUGGACAAUGGGGGAAACCCUGAUCCAGCCAUCCCGCGUGUGCGAUGAAGGCCUUCGGGUUGUAAAGCACUUUUGGCAGGAAAGAAACGUCAUGGGUUAAUACCCCGUGAAACUGACGGUACCUGCAGAAUAAGCACCGGCUAACUACGUGCCAGCAGCCGCGGUAAUACGUAGGGUGCAAGCGUUAAUCGGAAUUACUGGGCGUAAAGCGUGCGCAGGCGGUUCGGAAAGAAAGAUGUGAAAUCCCAGAGCUUAACUUUGGAACUGCAUUUUUAACUACCGGGCUAGAGUGUGUCAGAGGGAGGUGGAAUUCCGCGUGUAGCAGUGAAAUGCGUAGAUAUGCGGAGGAACACCGAUGGCGAAGGCAGCCUCCUGGGAUAACACUGACGCUCAU
rnacentral:rRNA from 1 species